rnacentral:rRNA from 1 species
UACGUAGGGUGCGAGCGUUGUCCGGAAUUAUUGGGCGUAAAGAGCUCGUAGGCGGUGUGUCACGUCGGCCGUGAAAACCUGCAGCUUAACUGUGGGCGUGCGGUCGAUACGGGCAUCACUGGAGUUCGGCAGGGGAGACUGGAAUUCCUGGUGUAGCGGUGAAAUGCGCAGAUAUCAGGAGGAACACCCGUGGCGAAGGCGGCUCUCUGGGACGGUACUGACGCUGAGACGCGAAAGCGUGGGGAGCGAACAGG